CGCAGAUAACCAAACACCUUCAUUAAAUUGUUUGUUCUGUGAAGAAAGGAGAAGAAAUCAGACUGCCUUCCUGAAGGUUGCCCCGAGAGGUGGUCUGCGGAGAGCGCUGACGGAGGGCUUUCUGUGCCGGCGCUGGAAGGUGUAGCAAGCGGAAAGGAGCGCACUAAGAGGAGCUCACGGGAAAACCCACGAGCCUUGCACUUUGUCAUUUACACGCGGUCCUGUUAUGCAACCGGCUGGUGACGCGGGUGGAGCUCUGGGUUUGGGAGGUGGUAGCAGGGAAAGCCCGGUCCCACGGCUGCCCCGCUCCCUUCACCGUUACAGGGACAGCGUUCCACGGGGCUGAGGUGGGCGCUAAGCGCCAUUUCCCUCGUCUGAAAUACCUUCGUGCAGAACGAAAUAGCCCGGAGGUGGACGGGGCACGGACAGCACAAAGCAGAGCAGCGAAGCCGUGGGGUGGUGGGAUAAGGGCAGCUCCCAGCACAGCCCCAG
ensembl:lncRNA